CUAGUAUGGUGGUAAUGACACUUGACUUGUAAUCAAGUGGGCUCGGGUUCGAAUCCCAAAUAAGA